rnacentral:rRNA from 1 species
AGGCAGCAGUGAGGAAUAUUGCACAAUGGGCGAAAGCCUGAUCCAGCCAUGCCGCGUGAGUGAUGAAGGCCUUAGGGUUGUAAAGCUCUUUCGACGGGGACGAUAAUGACGGUACCCGUAGAAGAAGCCCCGGCUAACUUCGUGCCAGCAGCCGCGGUAAUACGAAGGGGGCUAGCGUUGCUCGGAAUCACUGGGCGUAAAGGGCGCGUAGGCGGCCGAUCAAGUCGGGGGUGAAAUCCCAGGGCUCAACCCUGGAAUUGCCUUCGAUACUGGUUGGCUCGAGAGUGGAAGAGGUAAGUGGAACUCCGAGUGUAGAGGUGAAAUUCGUAGAUAUUCGGAAGAACACCAGUGGCGAAGGCGGCUUACUGGUCCAUUUCUGACGCUGAGGCGCGAAAGCGUGGGGAGCAAACAGGAUUAGAUACCCUGGUAG